rnacentral:rRNA from 1 species
GGAAUCAACGCUGGCGGCGUGCCUCAGACAUGCAAGUCGAACGCGAAAGCCCCCUUCGGGGGGCAAGUAGAGUGGCGCACGGGUGAGUAACACGUAGGUAAUCUACCUUUGGAUGGGGAAUAACAACCGGAAACGGUUGCUAAUACCGCAUAAUGCAGCGGCACCUAAUGGUGACAGUUGUUAAAGCGGGGGAUCGAAAGACCUCGCGUCUGAAGAGGAGCCUGCGGCGGAUUAGCUAGUUGGUAGGUAACGGCCUACCAAGGCUACGAUCCGUA